GCUACAUACAGGCACUGGUUAGUCGGGCUAAUUGAGGUAGAUGUACAUCAAUGUAUAGUUAAAGGGACUAUGCAUAUAGAUAAACAGAGAGUAGCAGCAGCGUAAAAGAGGGGUUGGGGGCGGGUAUUGUGGUCAUUAUGGGGUAUUGUGUCAAUUUGGGGUAUUGUGUCAUUAUGGGGUAUUGUGUCAUAUGGGGUAUUGUGUCAUCAGGGUAUGGGGUCGUCAUGGGGUAUUGUUGUCAGUAUGGGGUAUUGUGUCGUUAUGGGGUAUUGUGGUCGUUAUGGGGUAUUGUGGUCAGGUAUGGGGUAUUGUGUCGUCAUGGGGUAUUGUGUCGUUAUGGGGUAUUGUGUCGUCAUGGGGUAUUGUGUCGUUAUGGGGUAUUGUGUCGUCAGGGGUUUGUGUCAUUUGGGGUAUUGUGUCGUCAUGGGGUAUGGUGGUCUUAUGGGUAUGGUGUCGUCAUGGGUAUUGUGUCAUUAUGGGUAUUGUGUCAUUAUGGGGUAUUGUGUCGUUAUGGGGUAAUUGUGGUCUUAGGGGGUAUUGGGUGUCGUUAUGGGGUAUGUGUCAUUAUGGGUAUUGUGUCGUCAGGGGUAUUGUUAUCACGGAGUAUUGUGUCAUUAUGGGGUAUUGUGUCGUUACUGGGUAUUGUGUCAUUACGGGGUAUUGUGUCAUUACGGGGGUAUUGUGUCAUUAUGGGGGGGUAUUGUGUCAUUACUGGGUAUGUAUCGUUAUGGGGUAUGUGUCGUUACUUAUACGGGUAUUGUGUCGUUACGGGGUAUUGUGUCGUUAUGGGGUAUUGUGUCGUUAUGGGUAUUGUGUAGUUAUGGGGGUAUUGUGUCGUUACCGGGUAUGUGUCGUUACCGGUAUUGUGUCGUUACGGGUAUUGUGUCGUUACCGGGUAUUGUGUCGUCACGGGGAUUGGUGUCGUUACGGGUAUGGUGUCCGUUGCGGGUAUUGUGUCGUUACCGGGUAUUGUGUCGACCGGGUAGUUGUCUUACGUGGGUAUUGUGUCAUUAGGGGGUAUUGGUGUCAUUAUGGGGUAUUGUGUCAUUAUGGGGUAUUGUGUCAUUAUGGGGUAUUGUGUCAGUAUGGGGGUAUGUGUCGUACACCGGGUAUUGUUUGGUAUUGUGCGUUACCGGGUAUUGUGUCUUUACCGGGUAUUGUGUCGUUAUGGGGUAUUGUGUCGUUAGGGGUAUUGUGUCGAGGGGGUAUUGUGUCGUUACCGGGUUUGGGCGUUACCGGGUAUUAUGUCGUCACGGGGUAUUGUGUCAUUAUGGGGUAUUGUGUCGUUAUGGGGUAUUGUGUCGUUAUGGGGUAUUGUGUCAUUAUGGUAUGGUUCUUAGGGUUUGUAUGGGGUAUUUGUCGUUAUGGGGUAUUGUUCAUUAUGGGGUAUGGCAUUAUGGGUAUUGUGUCAUUAUGGGGUAUUGUGUCAUUAUGGGGUAUUGUGUCAUUAUGGGGUAUUGUGUCAUUAUGGGGUAUUGUGUCAUUAUGGGGUUUGUGCUUAUGGGGUAUUGUGUCAUGAGGGGGGUAUUGUGUCAUUAUGGGGUAUGGUGUCGUUAUGGGGUAUUACUUGGGGUAUUGUUCAUGGGGUAUUGUGUCAUUAUGGGGUAUGUGUCAUUAUGGGG
ensembl:lncRNA